GAGGAGCGUGUUGGCCAAAGUGGUGGAUGAGUGUGAUUCAGCGGACGGCUGUGCGAAUAACAUAGUUGAUGGAUCUGAUGGUGUGUGGGCUGCUCUGGGGCUGGAUAUCAAUCUUGGUGAAGUGCACGUUACUUGGUCCAUGGCUUAGAUAUCCGUAUGGUUAAUGAGUUGGGUUGGUUUUUUGUGUUCCCCUCUACUUUGGUUAUGAUGUAAUUUUGCAGCAAUAUGCACUGAAAUAAAAUAGCUGGAAGGCGCUAGCCCAGUGCCACCAGAACCCCAUUGACUGGUUUGAUUAAUAAAGAGUGAUUAUCGGCAGAAUGAACUACUUCAAGUCUUCAACCAUCACAUCGAUUAAUUAAUAAAGAAUCCCAUCAACUGUUGUUAUCCUCCUUAUACACAUUGAUUAAUUAGGCUUUAUAAACACCUACGAAACUUAAAGAUUGUUUUCCCUGAUGAUCAGUACUUCACAGUUACUUUGUUCACCACAACAUACAUCGUCUGAACAUUGGGCAGCAGCCGAUUAUUGUCUCUGUACCAUUAAUUAUCGAUCCUAAUCAACUCAUUUUUAUCCAAUCGUACUGGGCAGUACUUACAAGACAAGUCUUUAUUAUUAUUUUUUCAACAUUACAGCUAUCAAGAAAUCAUUUAAGCUUAUUAUUUUAAUUUGUUGAACAAGUUAACUUCAUUGCAUAGUUAUUAAACCACCUAUUAAUAAAUAAUUUUUAUUUUUAAUAAAUUAAUAUAUAAAAUUAAAUAAACCCAAUCCAGUUAUUAAAAUAUCGUUGAGCUAAAAAAAUGAGCUUAUUUCUCAAAUAAGCUGGAGGGGCUCGAACCCUCACAAAAUAUUUAAGGAGUGUCCAAUAUACCACUAAAUUAAUUAUAAUUAUUUUAUAAUUAAAUAAAAAAAUUUCAUUUAGUAGAUUAAAAAAAAUAUAAAAAUUAUCAAGAUAAUUUUCUUUAUAGUGUUUUUAAUAUUAAAAAAUUAUACAUUUAUCAUCAUUUACUUUAUAUCAUUUAAUACAGUUGAAUUAAAUGUAUCAUAAUUUUAAUAUUAAAUAUAUUUAAAAAUUAGACAUAUUACAAUCAAAUAUCACAAUAUUAUUAUCGAAUAAUAUUUUAUGUAAUUUAAUAAUCAAUGUACACUUUUAUUUAUGUAAUUUAAUAAUCAAUGUACACUUUUAUAUAUAUAUAUAUAUAUAUAUAUAUAUCAAUUUCUUCAACAAAACAAUUUUAAAAAGUCUAUUAUACUUCUAAUUUCAGUUUUAAGAGUUUUUUUUUAUAUAUUUUCAUAAAUUUUGAUCAAAUUUAAAUUAAUCGAUAUUUUUUAUCAAAAUAUCUGUCUAUAUAUCCAUAAAAUCAAAAUAUCGAUAUAUUCGUGAUUACUGAUAAUUUUAUCCUUGACCCAAUCAUUAGUAAAAAUAAAUAUUACACCCAAUAAAUUAUUUAUAUAUAAUAUUAUAAUCUAAACUAAAUUAUGUAUAAAUAAAUUUGUUCAAAGAAAGUACAUGUCAAACAAAUUUUCAUUUAAUUCCUAGUAAUUUGUUUUAAACAUAUUAAAGUAGUUGAAAUACAAAUGUUCAAUCAAAGUUUUAUUUAAUUUUUAAUCUAUCAAAUGAGAAUAUCAUCAAACUUCCUAUAAGAAAACAUUGCUUUCCACAUAAAAGAAUCAACUCCAAAUUAAAUUUGCACUAUCACCAAUAUCUGCUUCAAAAAUUACACAAAAACCUAAAGUUUAGUAGUACAAAUUAAGUUUUCAAUAUCAUAUACUAUUUUUGAAGAAUUCUCUUGUCACUAUAAACAAAUACUUGUCUUUAUGAUAAAAUUAAUUUGAGUAAGGAUCUAAGGUAUAACUUACUUGCCCUAAGAAAAUUUUAACUUCAACCAUUUCAAAUAUAAGAUCGCGUUAUACCUCAAAUAAUAGAGUAUAAUAGUAUUAAGAAUUCAAUAAACUACUACUACUUCUUCUUCUUCUUCUUCUUUAUUUUAAGCAAAAUAAUAUAUAUUUCAUCAUAAACCAUACUAUUUUAACUUCAACCAUUUCAAAUAUAAGAUAGAGUUAUACCUUAAAUAAUAGAGUAUAAUAGUAUUAAGAAUUCAAUAAACUACUACUUCUUCUUCUUUAUUUUAAGCAAAAUAAUAUAUAUUUCAUCAUAAACCAUACUAUUUUAACUUCAACCAUUUCAAAUAUAAGAUAGAGUUAUACCUUAAAUAAUAGAGUAUAAUAGUAUUAAGAAUUCAAUAAACUACUACUUCUUCUUCUUUAUUUUAAGCAAAAUAAUAUAUAUUUCAUCAUAAGCCAUACUAUUUUAACUUCAACCAUUUCAAAUAUAAGAUAGAGUUAUACCUCAAAUAAUAAAGUAUAAUAGUAUUAAGAAUUCAAUAGACUACUUCUUCUUCUUCUUCUUCUUCUUCUUCUUCUUCUUCUUCUUCUUCUUUAUUUAAGCAAAAUCAUAUAUUAUUCAUCAUAAACCAUACUAUUUAUCAUUAUCCUAAUAAUACUAAACUCAAGGUUACGUAUAAUAAAAUGAAAUAUCUAAAAGUAUUUUUUUGAAUUCUAUAUAUGUUAAAAACUAGUAUUAAAUUAAGAAAAAUAAAAUAAAGAAAAAGAGUAUUAAUGCAUGUUUACAGCUAAAUAAUGCAAAGAUUGAGUGUCAUUUUGAUAAAAAGGCCACGAAGUACGUGAUACAUAGGAUUUGGUUAUCUCAAUGUAUUAAAACCAAUGCUAAAACCUGCUUGAAGAAAAAAAACUAGAAUACUCAUACCCUAAUUAAGUACCACAAUAAAUUAAUAUCAUAAAACAUUAUAAUAAAUUUACCUUUGAUUAGAAUUUGUAUUCAUCUCAAGUAACCAAACAAAUUACCUCUAAAUUAUUUUAAAAUUUUGCAUAGUUUAGUUCACAUCAUUGAAAAUAAAAAGGUUUUUCAAAUGUCAUGAUCACUAUAUAUUUUCUAUCAAUGCAUAAUUUCAAUAAUUAUGUAAUCUUGCUUUUACAUUGAUACAUGGAAGCCACUCGCUUCUUAUUUCACAACUCGUCAUUUGAACACUUAACCAAUAAAUGUUUUUUUUUUUUCCGUUUUUUCUUAAUUUUAAAUUUUUUAUUUAUCUUUUCAUUUAAAUAUAGAAAGAUCUUUAUUACAAAUGUAUUUAAAAUAAAAAAUAUUUAGAGCUAUUAAAAAUCUAUUUAAAUUGAAUUUAUUUAUAUCUAAAAGAUUUUUAUUCUUUUUAAGUUUUUAAAAUGUACUAUAAACUAGUGUAUCUGUUAGCCAACGAUUCUCCAGAUCGUGUUUUGAUGAUAAAAAAGCAUAGUUAAGUUGUUAAUUUUUUUUGAAUUAUAAAGAAUUUCAAGUGUUAGUUUGAAAAUCCAUUAAAGAACCCAAUGGAUGUAAGAUAAAGACAAUUGGAAAAUUUUACUCAUAGAAAACAUAUAUAAGAUGAAUGCAUGGAUGCAUUUAGGUUUUUCAUAUCUUUUCAUGCAUCUUUAAAAACUCAGUUUAUGCUUUAAAGUUACAUUUACAUCAAAACUUAAGUUUUAUUAAAUGAACUUUAGGCAAAUCAUUUCAAAAUUGGCAUAAUAAUUUACCUAAAAACCUUACCUAAGUGUUAGAAGAAAAAAAAACAUAAAAAAAAAAAGUUUUUGGGCCAAAAAUUGUAAACCAGUCGAGGCACUGGCCAACUAGCUCAAUUGACUAGGGUGCCGAUCAACCGAUUACACCUUCUCGAUCGAGGUCCGAUUGAGAGAUGCAAAAAAUCUUCUCUCUCUUCCAAUAGCCUUGCAUUCUUGAUCGAGGAAUAUGUCUUCCCGAUCGAGGCCUAACGGUCACCUAACAAGCAUUUAUUGCCCAAUAGUUAGUUAACCAGUCGACCUCCAGCUCGACCAAUCAAGGUUAUUUUUUUUUUUGGUCUUUUUGGCUCUCAAGGCUAUAAACUUAUAAAUUGAGAACUCGACUUCAUUUAUGAGUAAGAGAACACCUACAUUUAUUUGUCUACCUACUUGUUCUUGCCUCAAAAACUUUAAUUCUUUCAUUAGUUCAUUAAAUUUUCAUUUGCAUAUUCCUUAAUGCACCCUUAUGAUUCAUCCUAGCAUUUGAGUUGUAUUUAAGCCCUUGUUGAGCUAGGUUGAAAGAUUUGAUUUUGUUAUUCGAUUGUUAGAACCUUUAAGUGAGUAAAGACUUGAAAAUAUUGUAUAAGAGCUCAUUUGAGCUAAAAUCCAAGUGUAAAUGUGUCAGAAGCUUGGUUGAAACUUCAAAUAUAGUAGAACCCUCACUCGGUUAGGAGCUUGAGAAGAGUGGACGUAGGCAAGGGGUGUCGAAUCACUAUAAAAUCUGAAUUUGCUUCUUCGAACCUUAUCUCUUAUGUAUGUGCUUCCUUUACUUGAAUUUGUUGUGGUUGAAAACAAAAAUUAAAACCCAAUUCACCCACCCCUCUCUCUAUCUCUCUCUCUCUCUCUUUACCUCUUGGGUGUUUUCUCUAUUAAGAUUAGUCUUUAUUUUCUCAGUAUCUAAGAACAUAAAUAUGUGUUUUCACUCUUAAUAGCCCAAAAUAGAUUCUUUUUAAUCCAAUUAAUUCAUUUGAGAAUAUAUGGAAGAAUAAAAACCAAUCAAGACACAAGACAAAAGAUUAUUUACAUGGAUUUCCAUACAACAUGUGGAAAUAAAAAAACUAAAAAAAAUACCAUAGAGUCAAAGACCUCAAAUUUAUAAUCCACUUAUGAGAGUACAACAAAGUUUUACCUAACAGACAUUAUCCCUAAGACUUACUCUUCAAUACUCAUACUGCAUUUUACAUCCGCGAUACAACACCUUGUGUGCUCCCAAUGGAUCUCACCUUAGUAUUUGAAGGGAUGUAGAUCUCUUUCACAAUCUAACAAAAGCAAACAUGAACACUUCUUUGAGAGUUUUGGAAAGAAUAAGACAAAUUAGAUUUUCUAAUUCAGAAGCACUAAGCCAAAAACCUUUUUAAGCAAGGCAUAUGUAGGCCUAGAGACCUAGUGGAUCGAUACUUAGAAAAUCCUUGAUUUAAAUCCAUUAAAAAAUGGAAAGAGUGAACUCCAAAAUUUUGGAGGAUUCUAUCUCAUGUGCUUAUGCGCCCUUAUAGCCCUUGAGUGCUCUUCAAGCAUUGAAUUUAGUGCUCUUUCUCUUUUCUUUUUGGGAGAAUUAUGUUUUAGAGGUAGAUAAGCCCCCAAAUUAACAAAAUGUUCAUAUAACUCUUCAAAUUGAGUUGAAGGAUAUGAAAUAGUAACGGACAAAUAUACCCUUUAAGAACACAUAAAAUAUUUUAUAAAAUUAAGUUAAAUAAAAAAAUUUUAAUAAUUUUUUUUUCAAAAAUACUAAAUUAAAUAAAAGUGGUUUUCAAAAAUAUUAAAUUAAAUUUUUUUUUCAAAAAUAUUAAAUUAAAUAAUUUUUUUAAAUAUUAAAUUAAAUAAAAGUAUUUUUAAAAAAUAUUAAAUUACAUAAAAGUAUUUUUAAAAAAUAUUAAAUUAAAUCAAAAAUAUUUUUAAAAAAUAUUAAAUUAAAUAAAAGUAUUUUAAAAAAUAUUAAAUUACAUAAAAGUAUUUUUUAAAAAUAUUAAAUUAAAUCAAAAAUAUUUUUUAAAAAUAUUAAAUUAAAUAAAAGUAUUUUUCAAAAAUAUUAAUUUUUUUCUCAAAAUCAACAAAGGACAUUUUUGGAAAUACUGAAGGAUAAUAUCCUUCAACUCAAUUUUCAUACUUUCAUUGAGUCUUGGGAUCAAUUUGAAGAGUUACACGGACCUUUUGUUAAUUUGGGGGCCCAUCUACCCCUAAAACAUAAUUCUCCCUUUCUUUUUUUCUUCUCUCUCUCUAUAUAUAUAUAUAUAUAAUAAAAGGUUAAUUAAUUUUAUUAUAUUUUACAAAUAGAUUUAUACUUUUUCUUGCAUUAUUUUAAAAUAAAAUUAGAGUAAAGAAAAUGAAAAAUAUAUGAACAAAUUUAAUUUUAGUAUUUUUAUUUUUAAAAACGAAUUUUCAUUUUGCUCAACCCAAAGCUGUUUGGAAGUGAUCAUUUUCAAAAGUAUGGGAAACCAAAGGCAGCUAGAGAUUUAGUUAUAGUGUGUAGCAUGUGCAAAGACUUUGAACUCAAACCACCAAGGUGUACAACCUCUCUCUCCCUUAAUUGCAUUCGUUCACGAUCCCUUUAGAUACUUCUUCCCUUUUGGGUCAUGUAAAGUAGUGGCAAGACAAAUCCGAAUUGAUUCCUUACUAUAUAUAUAUACUUCUUCCCUAAUAUCUCGUGAUCACGAUCCCCUUUAGAUACUUCUUCCCUUUGUGGCAAGAAAAAUCCGAAUUGAUUUCUUACCAUAUAUAUAUACAUAUGAUAUGAUGUUCCAUAAUACGGUCAAAUAUAUUUACUUUUAAAGUUUCUUUCUCCACAUUAUUUUUCUUAUAUAGUAGAUUUAAAAUAUUCUUUAUCUACCCAUUUGCCGAUGCAUGUUUGUAAUUGUGGGAGUCAUUAGCAUUAAUUAUUGAAGGCAUGUGUCUAACCUAAAAAGAAGUUAGCAUUAUCGAAGGCCUAGUCUUAUGGAUGUGACUAAAGGAAGGAGAGGCCAUCAUACUCAUCCUAGUGCCAAUUAACUCAAAAUGACUGAGGAUAAUUCUUUGAUGGGGUAAUUUUUGAACAAGAUGAUAUUAUAUGAUAAGAAAAAGGUCUAUGUGAUAUUUGAAUAUAAUUUGAUAUUUACUUUGCUUAAAAAAAAAACUUUAAAAUAUUAAAAUGAGAGUCCAUAAAAAUUGAAGAAUGAUUUUUAUAAUUUAAAAAUAAAUAUAGUAAAUGCGUCACAUCAAAUUAUGGCACGCCACCUAAGAAUAGGAUAAGGAACCUAAAGUACAAAGAUCCGUCAUUUUCAAAUUGUGUGGCGGGUUGAGUGUGGGGAAUAUCAUCCUAAGAGUGAGACUUUUCUCAAUAGUACAGUAAUUUUAAAAAGUUAUGCUUAAAUUAUUAUAGUAGAAGAAGUUAUUAUAAAUAUAUGGUAGUUUUUGCCACCUAAGAGAGAGGAGAGAGAGUGAACCGAUAAAUUUUUUUUAAAACCAAAAUUGUCUUUUCAAAAGACGAUUUUAAAAAAAUUUCAAAAGGUAAAUCGUCUCUUCAAGAGAUGAGUUCCAUGGAAAAAAAUAUAUAUUUUUUUAAAAAAAAAUUCCUUAAGGGAACUCGUCUCUUCAAUAAACGAGUUCCACAAAAAAUAUAUAUAUAAAUUCCCAAAAAAAAAAAACACAAUUCCUCAAUGGAGCUCGUCUCUUCAAGAGAUGAGUUCCAUGAAUAUAUAUUUUUAAAAAAAUUCUCAAAUUAUAAAAAAAAAAAAAAAAAAAAGGAAAAUUCCUCAAGGGAACUCGUCUCUUCAAGAGACGAGUUCCCAUGAAAUUUUUUUUUUUUAAAAAAAAAUAUAUUCCCAAAUUAAAAAAAAAAAAAAUAUUCCUCAAGGGAACUCGCCUUUUUUUUUUUUUUUUUUUUUUUUUAUAAUUUGGGAAUUUUUUUAAAAUAUAUAUAUAUAUAUAUAUUCAUGGAACUCGUCUCUUGAAGAGACGAGUUCCCUUGAGGAAUUUUCUUUUUUAUUUUUUUUUUAUUUCGGGAAUUUUUUUCGUUCCCUUGAGGAAUUGUUUUUUUUUUUUUUAAUAAUUUGGGAAUUUUUUAAUAUAUAUAUAUAUAUAUAUUUUCAUGGAACUCGUCUCUUGAAGAGACAAGUUCCCUUGAGGAAUUUUCUUUUUUUUCUUUUUAUUUUUUUAAUUUGGGAAUUUUUUUUCCAUGGGAACUCGUCUCUUGAAGAGACAAGUUCUCUUGAGGAAUUGUUUUUUUUUUAUAUAUAUAAUUUGGGAAUUUUUUUAUAUAUAUAUUUUCAUAGAACUCGUCUCUUGAAGAGAGGAUUUCCCUUUUGAAAUUUUUUUUAAAUCAUCUUUUGAAAUUUUUUUUAAAUCAUCUUUUGAAAAAACUAUUUGAAAUUUGAAAUGAUGAUUUUGGUUUUAAAAAAAAAUUAUCUACUCACCCUCUCUCCUCUCUCCUAAGUGGUAAAAACUACCGUAUAUUUGUAAUAACUUCUUCUACUAUAAUAAUUUAAGCAUAACUUUUUUAAAUUACCGUAUGAGAAAAGUCUCCUAAGAGUGAAGCCGCGAGCUGAGAGAAGUCCCACUGGCACUAAAAUUAGAGAAGGCUUCAGUUACGUCAUGAACCGAAAGAUUGAAGUGAAGCCAUCUAGAGGAGCCUUGCAAAAAAAAAUAUAUAUGGUGGAGCCGCAUUAGGGCAUGGGGUGAGUACAUAAGUGGAUGCAAGCUUCAUCCGUUGUCCAUUAAGCCUCUUUGGGUUACUGAAUACUGAGAGUAGCUCCAAAUUGCAAUGGCAAAUUCACCUGUAGUGUGGUUAGCAUCGGUGUGCCUUGUGUUCAAUAUCUUGUCCCUUCCAUUCCUAGCAUUGGGCUUAUCUUCUUGUGGUGGCUCAUGUCAAACACUUAAUGACUGUGAAGGUCAGCUCAUUUGCAUCAAUGGUAAAUGUAACGACGAUCCCGAGGUCGGGACUCACAUAUGUGGAGGAAACUCGAGUACCCCUUCCCCUCCAUCCCCCAGUACCUGCCAGCCCUCGGGAACUCUUGCGUGCAAGGGCGGAAAACCCAAAAAUACCUACACAUGCUCUCCUCCGGUCACCUCCUCCACGCCUGCCGUUCUAACUAACAAUAAUUUUGAAAAAGGAGGAGACGGUGGAGGCCCAUCCGCUUGCGACAACAAAUACCAUGACAAUUCAGAGCGCAUCGUAGCAUUGUCAACUGGGUGGUAUAAUGGGGGAUCCCGGUGUGGAAAGAUGAUCAGGAUAACGGCUCAAAAUGGGAGGAGCGUGUUGGCCAAAGUGGUGGAUGAGUGUGACUCCAUGCACGGCUGUGACAAAGAGCAUGCAGGUCAGCCCCCCUGUGAUAAUAACAUAGUUGAUGGAUCUAAUGCUGUGUGGAAUGCUUUGGGGCUGGAUAUCAAUAUUGGUGAAGUGGACGUUACUUGGUCCAUGGCUUAGGUAUAUGGUUGGUUGGUUACUCGGUUUUUGUGUGUACGUACGUACCCUCCUCUUUGUGUUCCCCUCUCUAUUUUGGUUUGUAUGGCUCCGCCAAGCACUAUUUUUAUGUAAUUUUGCAGCAAUAUAUGCAUGCACUGAAAUAAAACUGGAAGGCACUAGCCCAGUGCCACCAGAACCCCAUUAAGUGGUUUGAUUAAUGAAGAGUGAUUUGCGUCACGAUCUACUUGAACCAUCACAUUGAUUAUUAAUGCAACGCCUAAACUACAUCAACUUCCAAUGAGUAUUUUAUAUUAAUUUGACAUUGAGAUUCACCUUAUAUAUAGCAAUACUGAUCUUGGGAAAAUACAUAUUUUAAAAUUAAAAAGUUGUAAAAUCGAAAGAAACUUAAAAAGUAAAAAGAAAGAAAAGAAAAGAACAUAGAAGGUCUUAUCUAAUGGGUGGUACUAGAUCACUUUGAUGAGGUCGCAGUGAAGAAAUUAACAAGAUCCCCAGGAAAGAGAUGCUGUGCAAUAAGAAAUAUCAUCCUGGAACCCAAAUAUAAAAAGCCCCAUGGAGUUAUUGACGGGUACAUCAGUCAUAUAUAUACAUAUAUAAUACUUUGUCUUGAUCUAUACUUUUCAACAGUUUUUCUAUUAUUGUCUAUCCUAAUACAAGAUAAUUUAACUGAUAAAAGCCUAAGUGCCUUAUACCUAAACCAGAUUUCAUAUCUAUUUAUCUAUUAAAUAAUUUAAAAUAAAAUAAAAUAAUUAAAGUUAGAACACAAAUUAACUCUGAGAUAUGGAACUUAAAUGUUGAUUUUGUCACUUACUAGUCCAUAUUCAAAGUUGGGUUGUAGAAACCCAAUCUUGAUUAGUUGAAUUAAAAAUCAAUAAUUAGGGAAGAUAAAAAAAAACCAAUCAACACACAAAAUAAAAUAUUUUUAACAUGGAAAACUUUCAUGCAAUAUGAAGAAAUAAAAAGUCAGAAGUCAUAAACUUCAAAUCUACAUCUAUUAUAUGAGAAUACAAUACACACUUUUAUCUAGCAGAUUGCAUUUGAAUCUCAUCUUAGCGCUUAAAAUGAUGCAAAUCUCCUUCACAAUCCAACAAAGACAAACAUGAACACUUCCUUGAAAGCUUUAAGAAUAAGAAGACAAAUUACAUUUUCCAGCUAGAAAAACUAAGCCAAAAACCUUUUUGAGUAAGGUAUAUGUACGCCCACAGACUUAGUGGACCAAUUCUCAAAAAAUCCUCAUGCAAUUUAAAUCCUUUAAAAUUGGAAAGAGAAAACUUUAGAAUUCUAGAGGAUUCUAUGUCGAGUGCUCAAGCACCCUCAUAUAGGGAUGACAACGGGGUGGGUUCGGGACAGGUCGCCCCCAUCCCAACCCCACCCCGUUUAUUCGAAAUAAUUCUCAUUCCCAUCCCAUUUAAAAAAUUAAACGGGAUGGGACGGGCCGAGGCGAGUAUGAUAAAUUUUCAUACUUGUCCUGUUUAACUUUUUUUUUUUUUUAAUUUUUUUUAAAAAAAUUACUUUUAAAUUUUUAAUUAUAUUAAAAUAAAUAUAUUUUAUAAAUAAUUAAAUUAUUAUAUUUUUUAUAACUUAUUUUAUUAAAAAUAUUUUAUUAUUAUCUAUAUAUUAAAAAUAAUAAAAUAAAAAUUAAAUUAAAUUAAUUUUAAAUUAUAAAUUAAAUUAAAUUUAAAAAUUAAUUUUAUAUAUAAUCGGAGCAGGGCUGGGUGGAGUGGGGCAAUACCCGAACCAGUCCCGAGUUUUUAAAAAAAUUCUCAAACUCAUCACAAACCUAUUUAUUAAAAUUAAACUCCGUCCCAUUAGAGACGGGACGAGGCGGGUACCCGAAUAAACCCGCCCCAUUGCCAUCCCUACCCUCAGAGCAUUUGAGUGCUUCUCAAGCAUUGAAUCCAGGCUUCAAGGUUCAUGUAGUUUUUAAACCCUAAAAAAAAAUUCAUUUUGAUCAAUUUUAAAAACUCGAUGGAUGUCAUGCUACACCAACUACUAAUUUGUCUUUCUAAGACAUUUCUAUACUUACCAAACUCAAUCGAUGCCAUGUUAUACCAAAAUAUGUAUAUAUAAACCAUUUUAACAAGAUUUUAUUGAUUUUAGUUUUUAAAAAUAGUUUUUUAUUAACCAUAUUUUAGUAAAGGGAAAAAGAGAAAUUCUUAUUAGUAAAUGUUUUCUAAAACAAAUGGAACCCAAAACUCUAAAUGUGCUUUAGAAAUUUUUUGGAAAACCAAAACCUGUUUUCUAAAAGGUUGAAAGAAAGAUAAUAAACAAAAUCUUGUGAGAUCCUUCUAUAUGAAUAUCAUAAAUAUAAAUGAAAAUGAAAAUGAAUAAAAUUACACAAUAUAGCAUGACUUAUCUGUAUAUAUUUGAAAUAUAAUAUUCUUUUAUAAGUGUUAUUACAAUUUAAAGUUAUAUCAAGUAUAUAUAUUUUUUCAUAUUAGGUUAAUUCAUUUUAUUAUAUUUUAUAAAUAGAUUUAAACUUUUUCUUGCAUUAUUUUAAAAUAAAAUUAGAGUAAAGGAAAUGUAAAAUAUAUGAACAAAUUUAAUUUUAGUGUUUUUAUUUGAUUAAGAAAUAAACAAGAAAUAAAAUUUUAUACUUUUUAUUUUUAAAAACGAAUUUUCAUUUUGCUCAACCGAAAGCCUUUUCAAAGUGAUCAUUGUCAAGAGUAUGGGCAACCAAAGGCAGCUAGAGGUUUAGUUGUAGUGUGUAGCAUGUGCAAAGACUUUGAAUUCAAGCCAUAAACGUGCACUACCUCUCUCUCCCUUAGUUGCAUUUGUCAUGUUCUCUUGUGAUGAUCUCCUUUAGAUGCUUAGACCCUUUGGGUCACGUGAACUAGUGGCAAGAAAAAUGAAUUGAUUUCAUGAUGGAGAGUGUAGGGACCCCUCCCCUUGGGAAACACGUGGCACGCGGCUCAUGGUGACGCGUGGCACGUGCUGUCAGCCGGACCAUCAUCAUCCGGAUUCCCCUACAGAUACGUAUGGUGCGACUAUCCUAUCCGGAACCCCCCAAGGAAAGACAAACAACGUUUCAGCUUCUCCUAUCCAAGGAAGAGCAAACGACGCUGGCAGAACGUAGACACCCGGAUAGUCUCCACAAACACAUCCGGAUAUUCAGCAUGAUCCAUCCGGAUAUAAAUCGUCUGGAUGGUCAAUUAAAGUAAAGCGAGUCUUACACGCAAUCACAACAAGCAGCCAUGGCCCACAUCCCAUCACCUGCAGAAUGAGAAGACAAGAGGAAGUGACAGCAAGUCACUUCCCACGAUCAUUCUGCAUAAUCGCUUCCCACGAUCUCUGACAGCCGCAUCACCUACCAUGGUCUCUGACAGCCAUUCGUAGGAUGAUAGUGCUCCUACUAACACCUAUUGUCAUCAUCACAACAGAAAAUAUCUCCCCACCAUUAAUGAGAGGAACAGUACCCCUGAAGCUGUAUAUAUAUGACUUCACACGAAGAAGAAAGGGAUGAUCUCCCGGUAACCUCUUGACACCUAGUAAAAGGCCAACUGCCUCAUAUAUCUUAUUCUCUUAUCAUGGCUAACAACAUCAUCGGAGGGUGCAUCCGGACACCUUGUCCGGAUGCCUUUUUACAGGUACAACCACUGAAUCAAGAACCCCUUGUGUGUUGAGAAUCGCGUGUCCAUCCAUCUAGCAGCAACGCGGCCCACCUGAUACGCGAGGUGACAACAUUGGCGCCGUCUGUGGGAACCUUUUACUUUUUAUUUUGAUUCAGUCACUAGCAAAGAUGGCCACACCUUCCCAAAGUCGAUCAUCUGGUAGAGAGGAAGAAGAUAAUCACGAAUGGCGUCAAGCCAUCGAAAAAAGACAGUUGGCGAGCGAAAAACAGCUAAGAGCUCUCCUCCAGGAGACGGAGAGGUUAAGGGAAGAAAACGCUGUGUUACGCAUUCAAGCCUCAACAUCAAGACCUCCUCGUCGUCAGCGCUCAAAAGGUCAAGUGGCGAACUCAAGGCCAGAGCCAGAAUCAAUAUAUCCUGGGUCAACAGGAGCUGUCCCAGGAACAUACAACGCAAGGCCCCAUGAGCCACGCACACCCAUGCCUCGAGCUCCCCGUGAGGAAAGCUCAGAUUCCACUCAUUUCUCAGCAAAAAGACAACGUGAUAGAAAAUCACAGUUGUCAAGUUCUAUGCGCGCAAGACUAGACCCACAGGAGCCUGGGAGAUCAAGGCCACCAGUAGCCACAACUCGGGCGCCACGCCCCGAUCCUAUGAUUGCUCCCAUGGUGCAGAACGUACCUCCGCAUCGUGACCCCAUGGUCACCCCAGCGAUGCGGAACGUUCACUCACACCUAGCGGAACGAUCACUCACACCUAGCGGAACGACCAGCUGGGAGAAACCUCCCAAACGAGCCACCCAUUGGCUCCAUCAGCAAAAGGCUGGAUGACAUGCUCUCCACGCCCUUUUGCUCUCAUAUCACCCAUUACGAGCCCCCAAGAGGAUUUCUCGUACCAAAGUUUUCCACAUACGAUGGGACCAACGAUCCCUUCGAUCACAUCAUGCACUAUCGACAGCUUAUGACGCUCGAUAUUGGCAACGAUGCAUUAUUAUGCAAAGUAUUCCUUGCCAGCCUUCAAGGGCAGGCCCUUUCAUGGUUUCAUCGCCUACCUCCUAACUCUGUUGACAAUUUUAGGGACCUCUCUGAAGCAUUCGUGGGACAGUACUUAUGCUCUGCUCGACACAAGCAGAAUAUCAGCACCCUCCAGAACAUAAAAAUGAAAGACAACGAAUCCUUGAGGGAAUUUGUGAAACGAUUUGGCCAAGCCGUACUCCAAAUAGAGGUUUGCAGCAUGGACGCUGUCCUACAGAUCUUCAAAAGAAGCAUCUGUCCAGGCACCCCAUUUUUCGAAUCGCUGGCAAAAAAACCUCCUACAACGAUGGACGAUUUGUUCAGACGCGCUAACAAAUAUUCAAUGCUCGAAGAUGACGUACGUGCAGCCACUCAGCAAGUUUUGGUUGCCGGACGGGCUUCUAGAGAUAACGUGGACAGACAUGCCAAACCUCCGGACCGGCCAAAACCAAUUGACCGGAGGCAGGACGGGCCGAGUCGUCCGGAUAGGCCGUCCAUCACACCCCUAUCCAUAUCAUACGAAAAACUUCUCCCAAUGAUCCAAGGGUUGUCCGACUUCAGGUGGCCUAGACCCCUCGAAACGGACCCAUCUAUAAGAGACCGCAGCAAGAAAUGCGCCUUCCACAAAGACCAUGGUCAUACAACAAAGACAUGUCGGUCCCUCCAGUAUCUAGUUGAGAGGCUCAUCAAAGCAAGACAUUUAAAACAGUACCUCCCCUCAGAUACUGGAGGAAGGGACGCAUCACAGCAUCAUAACUCUGGGGCCCCGAGGGCCCCAGUCGCCCCCAAGGCUGUCAUAAACUAUAUCAACGGGGGCCCAUCUGACGAGGAAUACGAUUCCAGGCGGAAAAGACAGAAAUUGCUGCGAGCCGCGUCAAUACGCGAACGCAUUAAUUCCAUCCGGCCGGGUCUUACUGGGGAGGGCCCUCGCCCCAUUGAUGGGACAAUCAUUUUCCCACCAGUAGAUCCCACCCGAACGCUACAGCCACAUCGCGACGCCCUCAUCCUCUCUCUAGAAAUAGGAGAUUUUGAUGUAAGACGUAUCUUGGUUGAUCCAGGCAGUUCAGCCGAUCUAGUACAAGCAUCAGUCAUUGGCCAUAUGGGACAUAGUCCCGCGGGUCUCGAAAACCCCGGACGAAUCUUAUCCGGAUUCAACGGAUCAUCAACAACAUCCUUAGGAGACAUUAUACUGCCGAUUCGAGCUGGACCAGUCACUCUCAACGUGCAAUUCUCGGUGGUACAAGAGUUGUCACCCUUCAAUGUCAUCUUGGGACGCACAUGGCUUCACUACAUGAAAGCCAUCCCUUCCACAUAUCAUCAAAUGGUGAGUUUCCUCACCAACGAAGGGCAAACUGACUUGUAUGGCAGCCAGUUAGCCGCUCGCCAGUGCUACCAAAUAGCACGUGAAGCAGUCGCUAACCAGGAGGAUGCAUCUCCCCCUGAACCUAGCAUUGCGCACGACCAAUAGCAAUUAUUGGGUCCGGUGGACAAGGAUCCCCCGGUAGCAGAUCCCUUACAAACAAUCCAAAUCUCAGAAGAGAAUGAUCACCUCACAAACGUCAGUUCCCUCAUGACACAAGAAGAAACCCAGAGCAUACAAAAUAUCCUUCGAAGCAACCAUGACAUCUUCGCAUGGACACAUUCGGAUAUGAAGGGAAUUCAUCCCUCUAUCGCCUCUCACAAGCUUAACGUCCUUCCAGCAGCCAGACCCAUUCGACAGAAGAUUAGACGCUUUCACCCGGAUAGACAAAGAGUUAUCCAAGAUGAAAUUAACAAAUUGUUGGAAGCAGGAUUCAUCAGAGAGGUAUCUUAUCCGGAUUGGUUGGCAAAUGUAGUAGUGGUACCAAAGAAAGAGGGCAAAUGGCGAGUCUGUGUUGAUUACACCAAUCUCAAUAAUGCAUGCCCAAAAGACAGUUUUCCCUUACCACGGAUAGAUCAAAUUGUGGAUUCCACUUCCGGGCAAGGGAUGCUCUCUUUCUUGGAUGCCUUCUCCGGAUAUCACCAAAUUCCCAUGUCUCCGGAUGACGAAGAAAAAACAGCAUUCAUAACGCCACACGGCCUCUAUUGCUACAAAGUCAUGCCAUUCGGACUCAAAAACGCUGGCGCCACGUAUCAAAGAUUGAUGACUAAAAUCUUCAAACCUCUGAUAGGCCGCUCGGUCGAGGUAUACAUUGACGAUAUCGUGGUUAAAAGCAAAACUCGAGAGCAGCAUAUCCUCCAUCUACAAGAAGUAUUUUACCUCUUGCGAAAGUACGACAUGAAGCUAAAUCCUUCCAAAUGUGCCUUUGGCGUGAGUGCUGGCAAGUUUCUGGGAUUUAUGGUCAGCCAAAGAGGCAUAGAAGUCAGCCCGGAUCAAGUCAAAGCAGUCAUGGAGACACCUCCCCCCAGGAACAAAAAGGAGUUACAACGCCUCACAGGCAAGCUCGUUGCGUUAGGACGUUUUAUAGCCCGCUUCACUGAUGAGUUGCGACCCUUCUUCUUAGCGAUACGAAAAGCUGGAACCCAGGGAUGGACGGACAAUUGCCAAAACGCGUUGGAAAGAAUUAAACAUUGUCUUAUGCAUCCACCCAUCUUGAGCAGCCCCAUCCCAAAGGAAAAGCUAUAUAUGUAUUUAGCUGUCUCAGAAUGGGCAAUCAGCACCGCUCUAUUCCGCUGCCCUUCACCAAAGGAGCAGAAACCUGUCUACUAUGUCAGCAGGGCAUUGGCAGAUGUAGAAACCAGGUAUUCAAAAAUGGAGCUAACAGCCUUAGCUCUUCGAAGUGCUGCCCAAAAGCUCCGCCCCUAUUUUCAAGCCCACCCAGUGAUUGUACUGACCGAUCAACCCCUUCGCAGCAUUCUACACAAACCAGAUUUAACUGGGCGAAUGCUACAAUGGGCCAUCGAAUUGAGCGAAUUUGGAAUCGAAUUCCAACCCAGAUUAUCCAAAAAAGGCCAAGUAAUGGCCGACUUUGUGCUCGAAUAUUCACGAAGACCCAACCAGCACCACGAAUCAAGUGAACAGGAGUGGUGGACACUACGAGUUGACGGAGCCUCGCGCUCAUCAGGCUCUGGAGUUGGGCUCGUAUUACAGUCCCCAACUAGGGAACAUCUGGAGCAAACCAUCCGGUUGGGAUUCUCCGCGUCUAACAAUGAGGCAGAAUACGAGGCCAUCCUGUCCGGAUUGGACCUCGCCCUUGCUCUAUCUGUCUCCAAACUCCGGAUCUACAGCGACUCGCAACUAGUGGUAAGGCACAUCCAGAAAGAAUAUGAGGCUAAGGACUCACGCAUGGCGCGAUACUUGGCCAAAGUAAGAAGCACCUUACAGCAAUUCACCGAGUGGACAAUCGAAAAAAUUAAGCGAGCUGACAAUAGGCACGCUGACGCUUUGGCCGGCAUAGCUGCCUCUCUACCUAUCAAAGAAGCCAUUCUAUUGCCCAUAUAUGUGCAAGCCAAUCCCUCUGUCGCAGAAAAUUCCACUUGCAACACCAUUGAGGCAACCCAAACGGAUAAUCAAGAAUGGACGCAGGAUAUUGCAGAAUAUAUCCGGACAGGCACUUUACCCAAAGAUCUUAAACAAGCACACAAAAUCCGGGUGCAGGCUGCCCGCUUCACCCUGAUCGGGGGANNNNNNNNNNNNNNNNNNNNNNNNNNNNNNNNNNNNNNNNNNNNNNNNNNNNNNNNNNNNNNNNNNNNNNNNNNNNNNNNNNNNNNNNNNNNNNNNNNNNNNNNNNNNNNNNNNNNNNNNNNNNNNNNNNNNNNNNNNNNNNNNNNNNNNNNNNNNNNNNNNNNNNNNNNNNNNNNNNNNNNNNNNNNNNNNNNNNNNNNNNNNNNNNNNNNNNNNNNNNNNNNNNNNNNNNNNNNNNNNNNNNNNNNNNNNNNNNNNNNNNNNNNNNNNNNNNNNNNNNNNNNNNNNNNNNNNNNNNNNNNNNNNNNNNNNNNNNNNNNNNNNNNNNNNNNNNNNNNNNNNNNNNNNNNNNNNNNNNNNNNNNNNNNNNNNNNNNNNNNNNNNNNNGAGUCCGGACUGUAGAUCGCGCGUCAAACGCGGCUUCUUGAGGGGAGGCCCUUUCACCAGGACUAUAGCCAGGCGAUCCGGGUCGUCGGAAGGCUGACUUUGGCUUUCUGCUCCCGCUUCCUCCAACGGGGCCGUUUCAGCUGCAUCAGCAUCCGGAUUAAGGUUGCCCGGACGGUUGAUAGAUGCAGCUUCCUCAGCCACGUUAGCCAGACGCGCAGCCGCGACCAAGGAAGGACCUGAGUGAUUCAACCCCGACAUGCGUCCGGGGCCGCUUGAGAUAGAGUGCGGAGCAGCAUUUACUGGCUCCUCUAUCAUUACUUCCCCCUCAUAGGUAGUUUGGGGAGGAGGAAACUGCUUGGGAGGAGUGGGUUCCUUCAUGUCCUUCCCAUGCUUCUUCACCAGCUUCCCCCUUUUUCCUGAAGUUUUCUUUGGAGGAGAGUCCGGACCCCGCUUCUGUCCGGGAGCCUUCCGGAUAGUGCCUUCAGUUUUUUUCUGAUCUCUAUCCUCCAGGAGCUUUCGCCGCCUUUCAGCGUCAGCCUCUUUGGCUUCCUGACAGAGGGGGAGCUCCUUCACAGUAUAAUGCUCCCCAGGCACUAUCUCAUCCUUUGCCAAUUUCCUAGGAAGAAUAUUGAUAACAUAUUCCUGGGGCUCCCGGACGACCUCCGUCAAAUUCCGCGCGGAAAGCAAUGUUUUGUAGGCCCUCUCCUUGGGGUCUAUUUCAAAUAAUUUGCAGACGCAGGCAAAGGACGCCUUUUCCACCCAAUCCACAAGGUGGCCCCUCAAUUCCAAACCUGCAUUGUCAGCAACAAAGGGUGAGAAUUCUGUCCGGAAAAAUCAGAAAAAAUCAGCAAAGCAAAAUCCGAAUAAAAAAUCGCAAAACAAGAUUACCCGGGAUUUGUAAGGUAUAAUUCGGAGAAAAAGGCCUCGACGGAUGCUGCGAUAGCCCCGCCCAUCCACCCCAGACUGCCACCAGCCCCUUCGCCCCUCCCUUUGUCGAAUCUGGCAGUUCUGUCACCAUUUGAAGGGAGGGCAGGUGAGCGGACACACUGAAGAUAUCAUUCUUUGCUUUCUUCAGGGAAUAGACAAAGAACAAUUCCAGUAGCGUAAGGUCGAGGCUGUACAGCAUGUUGAUAAUGCUGCAUCCCAUCAGCACCCGGACAAGGUUGGGAUGAAUGAAGAUGGGUGGAAUCUGAGAGAAGUGGAGGAAUUCCUUGAACAAGGCUGGCAGAGGGAACCGGAGCCCCGCGUUGAAUUGUUCCUUUGUGAAGAGGAUAGCGUUUUUUCCACCUUUCUCAGUAGGAAUAGCCGCCUCCUCGUUCACCAGGUCUAUCAAUACGUCAUGGGGGAUGCGGAAUCGCUCCCGGAACUCCUUCGCAUUUANNNNNNNNNNNNNNNNNNNNNNNNNNNNNNNNNNNNNNNNNNNNNNNNNNNNNNNNNNNNNNNNNNNNNNNNNNNNNNNNNNNNNNNNNNNNNNNNNNNNAAUCUGGCAGUUCUGUCACCAUUUGAAGGGAGGGCAGGUGAGCGGACACACUGAAGAUAUCAUUCUUUGCUUUCUUCAGGGAAUAGACAAAGAACAAUUCCAGUAGCGUAAGGUCGAGGCUGUACAGCAUGUUGAUAAUGCUGCAUCCCAUCAGCACCCGGACAAGGUUGGGAUGAAUGAAGAUGGGUGGAAUCUGAGAGAAGUGGAGGAAUUCCUUGAACAAGGCUGGCAGAGGGAACCGGAGCCCCGCGUUGAAUUGUUCCUUUGUGAAGAGGAUAGCGUUUUUUCCACCUUUCUCAGUAGGAAUAGCCGCCUCCUCGUUCACCAGGUCUAUCAAUACGUCAUGGGGGAUGCGGAAUCGCUCCCGGAACUCCUUCGCAUUUAGUUUAUCUAUCGCCUUUUCGCCAGCCUCGCUGACCCGGACAGACGAAACAGUCUUUUUUGGAGUCAUUUCUUACCACAAAGCCAAAGCAAAAUCUACACGCAAAAACAAUGCAAACGGUCCAGACCAAGCAAUCAGAAAAUACACAAACUCAAAGCAGUCAGAAAAACCCCUCAAAAACCCCUCCAAACAAACAACAAAGUACCAACAUUAAACAAACAAUUGCAAGCGACUUGUUCAAAACAAAGCCAGGAACCAAGUUUAAAGAACCGGCAAACGCAACCAAAGGAAUGACAAUAGCAAAGAGGUACGUACCAAAUAGAGCUCUGGAGAAGAAAAACGGUUACUCUCUCGGUAUAAAAUCACCGGCAACAAACAAACGAGGUCGUUCGAAGUUUUUCUCAGAAAAGCAAAGGACGCAGAAAAAGUAAGAAGAAGGAAGGCUCUCAAGAGAAUGCAGUAGAAAAAAUACAAAAAGAGGUACAGUGCCCUAUUUAUAGCAGGACAGCCCCUCGGAAAGCCAAACCAACAGCCGUGUUAUCAUUGAAACGACAUAUUGCCUGGGGAUACACAGGGUCGGCGGCUCGCCAUAAAUGCCUUUUUUGGCUUUCGCACCCCCACUCGCCACGUGGCUAAGUUAGACGAAUGGACUUUUUCAAUUUUCAAAAACCCAGUUAUUUUUAACCCGCCCAUUUUUUGGCAAAAUAAGCAAGUUAAAAAGGGGGGCAAUGUAGGGACCCCUCCCCUUGGGAAACACGUGGCACGCGGCUCAUGGUGACGCGUGGCACGUGCUGUCAGCCGGACCAUCAUCAUCCGGAUUCCCCUACAGAUACGUAUGGUGCGACUAUCCUAUCCGGAACCCCCCAAGGAAAGACAAACAACGUUUCAGCUUCUCCUAUCCAAGGAAGAGCAAACGACGCUGGCAGAACGUAGACACCCGGAUAGUCUCCACAAACACAUCCGGAUAUUCAGCAUGAUCCAUCCGGAUAUAAAUCGUCUGGAUGGUCAAUUAAAGUAAAGCGAGUCUUACACGCAAUCACAACAAACAGCCAUGGCCCACAUCCCAUCACCUGCAGAAUGAGAAGACAAGAGGAAGUGACAGCAAGUCACUUCCCACGAUCAUUCUGCAUAAUCGCUUCCCACGAUCUCUGACAGCCGCAUCACCUACCAUGGUCUCUGACAGCCAUUCGUAGGAUGAUAGUGCUCCUACUAACACCUAUUGUCAUCAUCACAACAGAAAAUAUCUCCCCACCAUUAAUGAGAGGAACAGUACCCCUGAAGCUGUAUAUAUAUGACUUCACACGAAGAAGAAAGGGAUGAUCUCCCGGUAACCUCUUGACACCUAGUAAAAGGCCAACUGCCUCAUAUAUCUUAUUCUCUUACCAUGGCUAACAACAUCAUCGGAGGGUGCAUCCGGACACCCUGUCCGGAUGCCUUUUUGCAGGUACAACCACUGAAUCAAGAACCCCUUGUGUGUUGAGAAUCGCGUGUCCAUCCAUCUAGCAGCAACGCGGCCCACCUGAUACGCGAGGUGACAACAGAGAGGUCAUCAUGCUCAUCCUAGUGCCAAUUAACUCAAAACAACUAAGGAUAAUUCUAUGAUGGGGUAAUUAUCGAACAAGGUGAUAUUACAUGAUAAGAAAAAGGUUUAUUUGAUAUCUCAAUAUAAUUUGAUAUUUAGGUUGCUUAAAAAGAUUAAAAUGAGAUUGAAGAAUGAUCCGUCAUUUUCGAAUUGUGUGGCGGGUCGAGUGUGGGGAACAUCAUCCUAAGAGUAAAGCCACGCCAGAGAGAAGUCCCACUGGCACUGAAAUCAAGGCAACUAGAAGAAAAGGCUUCAGUUACGUCGUCAACCGAAAGAGUUGAAGUGAAGCCAUCCAGAUGAGGCAUUAACUGCAAAGAAAAAACAAAACAUGUGGCUGCUUAAUUUCUUGAUAUGGUGGAGCCGCAUGAGGGCAUGAGUUGAGUAUAUAAGUGGAUGCAAGCUUCAUUCCUUGACCAUUAAGCCUCUUUGGGUUACUGAAUACUGAGAGUAGAACCAAAUUGCAAUGGCAAAUUCACCUGUAGUGUGGUUAGCAUCCGUGUGGCUUGUGUCCAAUAUAUUGUCCCUUCCAUUCCUGGAAUUGGGUAUAUCUUCUUGUGGUGGCUCAUGUCAAACACUUAAUGACUGUGAAGGUCAGCUCAUGCAUCGAUGGUAAAUGUAACGACGAUCCCGAGGUCGGGACUCACAUAAAUGGAGGAAGUUCAAUUACCCCUCCACCUCCACCUCCCGGUACCUGCCAGCCCUCCGGAACUCUUGCGUGCAAUGGUGGAAAACCCAAAAAUACCUACACAUGCUCUCCUCCGGUCACCUCCUCCACGCCUGCCGUUCUAACUAACAAUAAUUUUGAAAAAGGAGGGGACGGUGGAGGCCCAUCCACUUGCGACAACAAAUACCAUGACAAUUCAGAGCGCAUCGUAGCAUUGUCAACUGGGUGGUAUAAUGGGGGAUCCCAGUGUGGAAAGAUGAUUAGGAUAACGACUCAAAAUGGGAGGAGCGUGUCACAGUGGUGGAUGAGUGUGACUCCAAAUCUUUAUGAUUAAUGUUUUCCGUGAUGCCCCAAUUACUAAUACAUGCAGUUACUUCGUCAACGCAACAUAUAUCAUGUGAACAUUACUAUACUAUCUGCCUACAAGAUACUGUUGGCAGUACGUACGUACCAACCAAUUAGUAUCUCUAGGAUUCUCAUAGUAUUAAUUAUCUAUUCCAAUCUACUCAUUUUCAUCGAAAUAACUAUAAUUAAAAUAUCUGCAAACAUUUUAGGAAAAUAGAUAUGCAUACCUAUGGGUCUUUUGGACUUAAAACUUACCACAGUACAGAUAUAUCAAAGCUUUGUCAAGUGUUGUGGUAGUAGAACAUAUAACUGUAAACCAAAGACUUUAUACGACUACUCGGAUACAUUUGUACAUGUCUAUGAAUUCACACACUUAUUGCCCUAUGGAUAUCCCAACUAUCAUGAGAAUUAAUUGUAGAGUACGUAGGUCUCAAUCUCUUAGGAUGGCCCCAGUUCCACACUCAUUCAGGUAAUUAUCAAAAAUUUUCCUGCCAACCAUCCUAACUUUAUAGCUUAUAGACUAAUUAAGACUUUCCACUCCGGCUCUAUAGCACUACAUGAAAGUCGUAAUGUAAAGACAUCCCAGAUGAAGUGUGGCACAAAUAAUGAGGAGGAAGAAAAAUCGUAAUGAACAGAAAGCCCAAUAACUAGCAGGGAAAGCCAAUGACUCCCAAGCACCACGUGUAUUAUGCGCACAAGCGGAAAUAAUUUGGAGAAAAUUUAGAUUUGCACGUGUAUCAUGUGUUGAAAGUCAAAAUUAUGUUUGGGUAAAGGACCAAUAUGACCCAAAAUCUAGAUUUGCACCCUUGACACUUUUAAAAUAGAACCCUACAUUUCAAACCUAUUAUAUAUAUACCAUUUGGAAAUAAAAUACCUAAAUAAAAGGGAUCCGAUGAUCAAAUGGCCCCUUUGUAAAUCAAUGAGAGAUGAAGAUGCUCAAAAAUCUUCAUAAAUAAUUGAAAUUUUUUGUUCCAUCAUUUCUAGAUACAAAAAUGGGUUUAUGGAUUUAAAGAGUGUUUUUCAAGGGGAAAGCCCCUUGACCUUAUUGCCUAUGGCCUCUUUUAUAAGCAUUCUUCCCAUGCAGAUGUAUUGUAAAUCUUGUGAAGGAGCAGACUUUUUCUAUAAGCUUUAACUUUUGGGUGAAUGAGGAUAAGAGCAGUUGAAUUUGUCUUUUCAAGCACAAGUUGGUCAAUCAUGUCAACUUGUAAGAAGAUCUUCCCUUUUUAUGAUCUUUAUUUUGGGGUAAGGUAAAUUUGUAUCUUUUCAAAUAAGUGUUGUAUGACUGCAAAUGAGACUUUUUAAAAACUAUAAGUUUUAGAGUAAACUUGUGUUGUUCAUUUGGAAUUAGGUUCUUUAAUCAAAUUGGGUGAAUGGUGCUACCUCUUUACUCGAGAUGGCCUCAGGGUUGGGUGGCUGAAGAUUAGUAUUUCAAGAUGGCUUGUUUAUUGUUCACUUCAAGAGACAAGAAAGAACUCAUUCCUACAAGGUUGCUUCGCCCUACCAAAGAAUUGUUGCUUCUUCAAUAAAUAUUCCUUCUCUGCGGGAAGGCUCCACUUUUAUAGUUCUUAAUUCAUGCAUCAUUAUUACAAAAGUUGCAGCCGAGGGAUUGUGUACAUAAACUAUGGUCUAUGAAGACAGCCAUAUCAAUGCCUUGAUAGUGUGAAAUUUAGCUUUCUUUCGAGUAAUUUAUUUCCCCCCCUUUUAUAGGUAGAGGGUGGAGCAAGAUAGGCGGAUGAUCAAAAAUCGACUAGUGCAAAUUGAAUUGAAAGGAGUCCAAUUGGGGUUGGCCCAGCAAUUUGAUUGUGUGGAACUCUACCAAGAAAUAGCACAUGAUAUAACGUCACAAAAGAGGAGAACGAUUAGUUCUGGAUUGAGUUAUCAUAAUUUCGUGCAGAGCCAAGUUUCAUCCACCCAUCACGCAUGCCCGGAAAAAAAACAAAAAAUCUGAGGAGCUACACUAAAUGCCUCCUCAAUAGAGCAGGUUGACCCGUAGCCAAUGCCCACAAGUUAAUGGCCAAGUUGAAGAAAUUAAAGGUGCCCCGCUAUGUGGACCAAUUGCAUUUAGCACUCAUUACUUCCUGAGCCAGACAACAGCUUGGAGUGGAUUCAGUAUCAAUAUAAGCAGCCUCUUCCUUAGGCCUCAUCCAAAACAUUCCAAACCGCUGGGCCAAUUUACCUUAUUGAAGGUGGCUCCAAUGGCAAAUUUAGCACUGUUGCUAGCAUCUCUGUGUCUUCUCUCCAACAUUUUCUCCCUCCCAUUCCUUGCAUUUGCUAUAUCCUCCUGUGGUGGCCCAUGUCAAACCCUUAACGACUGUGAGGGUCAGCUCAUAUGCGUCAGUGGUAAAUGUAAUGAUGAUCCAGACGUCGGGACUCACAUUUGUCAAACCCCAUCACCAUCCCCUCCAAGCGGCUCUAACUGUCAAGCCUCCGGCACUCUUACGUGCGGGGGAAUAUCCUAUCCCACCUACAGAUGCUCCCCUCGGGUUACAUCCUCCACACCUGCCAAACUCACAAACAAUGACUUUAGCGAAGGCGGGGACGGUGGAGGCGCGUCGGAGUGUGAUGAGCAGUACCAUAGCAACUCGGAGCGUAUUGUCGCCCUGUCAACCGGGUGGUACAAUGGCGGAUCGCGAUGUGGAAAGAUGAUCAGGAUUACGGCACAAAAUGGGAGGAGUGUGGUGGCCAAGGUGGUGGAUGAGUGUGACUCCAUGAGGGGGUGUGACCAAGAGCAUGCAUACCAGCCUCCUUGUAAGAAUAACAUAGUUGAUGGAUCUGAUGCUGUGUGGAGUGCUCUGGGGCU
rnacentral:lncRNA from 1 species